CUUUCCCAUGGUCACACAGUAGUGACAGGUGGAGCCAGCCCACACCCAGUCUUCUGAUGCCACUCCUUUGCAGAGGCUGUAUGUCCUUCUCUGUCCCUGCCCCUGCGCCCUCCUCCUGCCCACCAGACCCUUCUCUGGGAUAUCCCCCUAGUUUGGUUGCUGCGGGGUCAACGGGCCUGAAGACUUUAAGUUUGCAUCUGUGUUUCGACUCCUGACCCUGGAUAGUGAAGAGGUGCCGGAGGCCUGCUGCCGGAGGGAACCCCAAAGUCGGGAUGGGGUCCUGCUGAGCCGGGAGGAGUGUCUCCUGGGAAGAAGCCUGUUCCUAAACAAGCAGGUUCUCAGCCUGGGCCCAAAGAAUAUGCAGACUCCUAUAAAGGAAGGAAAGUUCUCCCACUUUGAAAAUAUGUGUCAUUCAAAGGCUGUUACACGGUGAUCCUCAACACCUUCGAAACCUACGUCUACUUGGCCGGAGCCCUUGCCAUCGGGGUACUGGCCAUUGAGCUUUUCGCCAUGAUCUUUGCCAUGUGCCUCUUCCGGGGCAUCCAGUAGAGGGUGUGGCCUGAAGCCUGAAGACUCGCCCCACCCACCACUGCCCAGCACCCAAUGUCCUCCCGUGCCCCUCCCUGCUGUCCUCUUGGCCCCAGGGGAGAAGAUGAGCCAUCAGAGAUGGCCAGGAGAAGGGUCAGGGGAAUAGAGCUAUUUUUUUAACAAAACAAAACGAAGACAAAAAUAUGGACUGACGUAUCCGCGCCUGGACUCAGGGCAGGUGCCAUGGGUUCUCCAGAGACCCCAGCACCUGGCCCAGGAUGCAGGCUGCUCUAGAGAC
rnacentral:sRNA from 1 species